rnacentral:rRNA from 1 species
GGGUUGUGAGGUUAAGCGACUAAGCGUACACGGUGGAUGCCCUGGCAGUCAGAGGCGAUGAAGGGCGUGCUAAUCUGCGAUAAGCGCCGGUAAGGUGAUAUGAACCGUUAUAACCGGCGAUACCCGAAUGGGGAAACCCAGUGUGAUUCGUCACACUAUCAUUAACUGAAUCCAUAGGUUAAUGAGGCGAACCGGGGGAACUGAAACAUCUAAGUACCCCGAGGAAAAGAAAUCAACCGAGAUUCCCCCAGUAGCGGCGAGCGAACGGGGAGGAGCCCAGAGCCUGAAUCAGCAUGUGUGUUAGUGGAAGCGUCUGGAAAGGCGCGCGAUACAGGGUGACAGCCCCGUACACAAAAGCGCAUGUGCUGUGAGCUCGAUGAGUAGGGCGGGACACGUGGUAUCCUGUCUGAAUAUGGGGGGACCAUCCUCCAAGGCUAAAUACUCCUGACUGACCGAUAGUGAACCAGUACCGUGAGGGAAAGGCGAAAAGAACCCCGGCGAGGGGAGUGAAAAAGAACCUGAAACCGUGUACGUACAAGCAGUGGGAGNNNNNNNNNNNNNNNNNNNNNNNNNNNNNNNNNNNNNNNGGGCGUUAAGUUGCAGGGUAUAGACCCGAAACCCGGUGAUCUAGCCAUGGGCAGGUUGAAGGUUGGGUAACACUAACUGGAGGACCGAACCGACUAAUGUUGAAAAAUUAGCGGAUGACCUGUGGCUGGGGGUGAAAGGCCAAUCAAACCGGGAGAUAGCUGGUUCUCCCCGAAAGCUAUUUAGGUAGCGCCUCGUGAAUUCAUCUCCGGGGGUAGAGCACUGUUUCGGCUAGGGGGCCAUCCCGGCUUACCAACCCGAUGCAAACUGCGAAUACCGGAGAAUGUUAUCACGGGAGACACACGGCGGGUGCUAACGUCCGUCGUGAAGAGGGAAACAACCCAGACCGCCAGCUAAGGUCCCAAAGUCAUGGUUAAGUGGGAAACGAUGUGGGAAGGCCCAGACAGCCAGGAUGUUGGCUUAGAAGCAGCCAUCAUUUAAAGAAAGCGUAAUAGCUCACUGGUCGAGUCGGCCUGCGCGGAAGAUGUAACGGGGCUAAACCAUGCACCGAAGCUGCGGCAGCGAACGUAUCACCCAAGACAACUUUACGGAGUUGACGAUUGACGGAGCGAAGCGACGUCAAAGCGUUCAUUAAAGUCGAGUUGGCUUAGGGAUACGUUCGUUGGGUAGGGGAGCGUUCUGUAAGCCUGUGAAGGUGUGUCGUGAGGCAUGCUGGAGGUAUCAGAAGUGCGAAUGCUGACAUAAGUAACGAUAAAGCGGGUGAAAAGCCCGCUCGCCGGAAGACCAAGGGUUCCUGUCCAACGUUAAUCGGGGCAGGGUGAGUCGACCCCUAAGGCGAGGCCGAAAGGCGUAGUCGAUGGGAAACGGGUUAAUAUUCCCGUACUUGGUGUUACUGCGAAGGGGGGACGGAGAAGGCUAUGUUGGCCGGGCGACGGUUGUCCCGGUUUAAGCGUGUAGGUGUGUGUUCCAGGUAAAUCCGGUUCACUUUAACACUGAGGCGUGACGACGAGGCACUACGGUGCUGAAGCAACAAAUGCCCUGCUUCCAGGAAAAGCCUCUAAGCAUCAGGUAACACGAAAUCGUACCCCAAACCGACACAGGUGGUCAGGUAGAGAAUACCAAGGCGCUUGAGAGAACUCGGGUGAAGGAACUAGGCAAAAUGGUGCCGUAACUUCGGGAGAAGGCACGCUGACACGUAGGUGAAGUGAUUUACUCAUGGAGCUGAAGUCAGUCGAAGAUACCAGCUGGCUGCAACUGUUUAUUAAAAACACAGCACUGUGCAAACACGAAAGUGGACGUAUACGGUGUGACGCCUGCCCGGUGCCGGAAGGUUAAUUGAUGGGGUCAGCGCAAGCGAAGCUCCUGAUCGAAGCCCCGGUAAACGGCGGCCGUAACUAUAACGGUCCUAAGGUAGCGAAAUUCCUUGUCGGGUAAGUUCCGACCUGCACGAAUGGCGUAAUGAUGGCCAGGCUGUCUCCACCCGAGACUCAGUGAAAUUGAACUCGCUGUGAAGAUGCAGUGUACCCGCGGCAAGACGGAAAGACCCCGUGAACCUUUACUAUAGCUUGACACUGAACAUUGAGCCUUGAUGUGUAGGAUAGGUGGGAGGCUUUGAAGUGUGGACGCCAGUCUGCAUGGAGCCGACCUUGAAAUACCACCCUUUAAUGUUUGAUGUUCUAACGUGGACCCGUAAUCCGGGUUGCGGACAGUGUCUGGUGGGUAGUUUGACUGGGGCGGUCUCCUCCUAAAGAGUAACGGAGGAGCACGAAGGUUGGCUAAUCCUGGUCGGACAUCAGGAGGUUAGUGCAAUGGCAUAAGCCAGCUUGACUGCGAGCGUGACGGCGCGAGCAGGUGCGAAAGCAGGUCAUAGUGAUCCGGUGGUUCUGAAUGGAAGGGCCAUCGCUCAACGGAUAAAAGGUACUCCGGGGAUAACAGGCUGAUACCGCCCAAGAGUUCAUAUCGACGGCGGUGUUUGGCACCUCGAUGUCGGCUCAUCACAUCCUGGGGCUGAAGUAGGUCCCAAGGGUAUGGCUGUUCGCCAUUUAAAGUGGUACGCGAGCUGGGUUUAGAACGUCGUGAGACAGUUCGGUCCCUAUCUGCCGUGGGCGCUGGAGAACUGAGGGGGGCUGCUCCUAGUACGAGAGGACCGGAGUGGACGCAUCACUGGUGUUCGGGUUGUCAUGCCAAUGGCACUGCCCGGUAGCUAAAUGCGGAAGAGAUAAGUGCUGAAAGCAUCUAAGCACGAAACUUGCCCCGAGAUGAGUUCUCCCUGAGACUUAGAGUCUCCUGAAGGAACGUUGAAGACGACGACGUUGAUAGGCCGGGUGUGUAAGCGCAGCGAUGCGUUGAGCUAACCGGUAC